AAGAAAUUAGCUCAGUGGUAGAGCUAUCGUUUUACACACGAAGGGUCAGGUGUUCAAAUCACCUAUUUCUUA
rnacentral:tRNA from 11 species